ensembl:lncRNA
GGGGGAGGUACCAGGAGGGAGCAUGUCCGAAAGCCGCAGGGCUGGAUGUCGUGGUUGGUUUUCUCUCCUGUCCUCUGCCUGAUUUUUGCCUCCAACCCGUGCCAUGUUCCCAGGAGCCUAAGGACUUCGGGGGAGUCGAAUACAACCCCAGAACCGCUGGGGGUACAGGAGCCAGAGACUUGCUGGUUGUGGGACCCACGCAGAUUUGGUGGCCUCACAAGGCAGCGACAGGAGCCACAGGCCCAUCCAGAAGAGCAGCCCGGAGUGGCUGUGACGGGGGCCAGAAGUCAUGUUGGCAGCAGACGGAUGGGGGGCCGUGAAAGGCAAGGGCCGACCCCACAGCUGGGACUUUCCCGCUCACUGCAGGUGGAGAGCGAGGCUGGAGGUCAGUAUGGCUACUGGACAUUGUCAGGUGUGAUGCCCGUGCUCUGGGAGGGGCAGAGAGAGAAUCCCAAGCAGGCUCUGCACACUCAGUGUGGAGCCCAACGUGGGGCUCGAACCCGUGAACCGUGAGAUCAUGACCUGAACCAAAAUCAAGAGUCAGACGUUUAACCAACUGAGCCAUCCAGGCGCCCCAGAUGCUUUUAUUUUUAACUAAAAGAAAAAAUACACACAAGAGCACAAAGAUAAGAAUACUAGCCCACACAGGUUACCUCCACCCACCAUUAACCACUGUAAGAUCUUUGCAUAUUGGCUUUUUUUAGAAAAAAACAAAGACACAUAUUUUUGUAAAAAUAACGUGUGCCUGUUAUAACUGAAUUCUACCAGUGGCAGAAAGCACACAAAGAAAUGUAGAAGAGAAAUUCAAUCGGUCCCCCAGAAAUGAGCGGUUGUUGUUCUAGGUGAACUUCUUGCAAGAUAUGGAUACAAAUAGAAGAAAUAAAAACAUAUUUUAGGGGCUCCUGGAGGGCUCAGUCGUUUAAGCAUCCGACUUCGGCUCAGGUCAUGAUCUCACAGUUCAUGAGUUCGAGCCCCGCGUUGGGCUCUUUGCUGACAGCUGGGAGCCGGGAGCCUGUGUCUCCCUCUGUCUGCCCCUCCCCCACUCACACUCUGUCUGUCUCUCUCAAAAAUAAAUAAACAUAUAAUUUGUAAAAUAUCUUAUAAAAAUGAGAUCCGUCUCUUGAAGCUCAUUUCCAUUUCAAGAGUGCAUUAGUAACUUUACUUCAACUGAAGGAGUUACUGGACUUGACAUAACUGUUCUUCUCACAUAAUACCUACUAUUUCCAAAAAAGUCUCUUUAACAUUAGAAGUGUAUGAAAUGUUUAAGAGGCUGGAAUCCUCACUGAUUUUUUUUUUUUUUGUCUCCUGAAUGUGCACCCUCCUUCUCUGCCCCCUCUCAUCGAGGCUGGCUGCGUGCGUCCACCUGCACUUUCGGGGGGCGCUGGCUGACCACGCAGCCCUGCCCAGGCCAGCCGCAGGGGGCCAGGCCCCGGAGAAGGGGUGCUCCGUUUAGAUACCAGGCAGCUGCUGGUUGAAGACUCUGUUCCAGCCCAGGGCGUCCCACAGGGACCAAAGACCCUGUCUUCACGGAGCUCAUGUUCCACGUUCUCUUGAACCAUCCUCCUCCAUUUGGGGUCCGUACACCCCUUUGGGAAGCCCCCCCACCUCCUCUCAGCUCUCACAUUUUAAUGUAAAGACCGUUUUGGAGGAAUGGGGAUUUCGUAGCGGCCUCCUAGCUACUUCCAGCUUCACUGCUCUGUUGAAAGUGCUCUCGAAGGUCACAAGUGACCUCCACAGCUUGGAGCUCGUGGUCACAGCAAGCUAAGAGGCCACCGCCACCGCACGGCAGCUCACACAGCUCAGGUGAGAGACCUCGUUUCGCUGCUGAGAAGGUCUCAUCAAGUCUGUCCAACCCACGUCUACGCCCUUAACUACCGGGUCAUCUCAGAAGCAGGUGCUCCGGGGAAAGAAGACGCUGCCAUUGGGCAAACCAGCGGCUCGCAGGUGGGGGCCAACCUGUGACCGGACCAUCCCCGACCAUCAGAGGGGCCCCGCCGGCUCGGCCUUGCGUGCUCUUCCCUGGAGCUUGAUGCACAGCAGAGAAUGUCGUUAGGCUAGGAAUGUAGCUAGUGGAGAUGGCAGCUACCAAGGCCUGCAGGCUGCACCAAACCCGGGGGACCGCCCGACAGCAAAGCCCGGGGCCAGGGUGGACGCUGUCUCCUGUUUGUACAGCCGUUUCUUGCUCCUCGUCUAUUCCCUCUGUUCAUUGAACUAUGGGGGCUGCAGCGCUGGUGUCUCCCCCCUCCCACUUCCGACCUGGAGGGAAAGAAAUUCGCCAAGGUGAAUCUUCUCCACCUUGGAUUUCUAGUUACGUAUAAAAAAUACCACACACACACAAAACCAUGAAAUGGGGAAGAAUCCUCCACGGUCCUGGCUGCCCCCCUGCCUAUCAGUUCCGUGUUUGGUGAUCCUCUUGUGACACGUUGUCUCUGCCAUCACAGGUUUUCAUACUGUUUAUUUUACGCGUGUAUUUUCACAAACAUUCUCUGUGUUUCCUCAUGGUCUUCAUCCUUCGUUUCCACGCACGCGUACCACCCCGUGGGACAGAAGCGUCCUGACGGACGUUCCCAUCCUCUGUCAUUGAACGUGGACGUCAGAUCUAGCGUUUGCCUGCUGGAGAUAAUGUUGUAACAUAAGGUGUUUAUACGGAAAAAACCCCCACAACUUGUUUAUUCUUUUAAAUUUAGAGAAAUGAGGGGUUUAAAACGACCCAGGUAACAUGAAUUACUUUGUAAUUGGAAAACAAACUCCGAUAGGACAGUAAUUCUAGUGACGGCAAUAAUCACGGCCCAGGAAGAAAAGCAGGGAGAGUUUGAAGCCAGAGCCCAGGUCCCAAAAUCCUCCUUCAAGAGUCUUGAGCCCCUGGUGCUACACUGUUAAGUUUGCCAGUGAGUUUGAGAUCUUCGGGCCACCGGUUACUUUUUACCCAUAUUGUGGCUUCAUCACUGGUUAUUUUAUUACUAAAAAUAUUUUUUUUAGAUUUAUGUAUUUAUUUUGGGAGAGAGAGACAGCACGCACACACAAGUGUGGGAGGGGGAGAGAGACGGAAAGAGAAUCCCAAGCGGGCUAGGCACCCUCAGCUCAGAGCCCGAUGCGGGGCUCGAACUCACAAACCCGUGAGAUCACGAUCUGAGCCGAGAUCAAGAGUCAGACACUUAACCAAACGUGCUACCCAGUGCUCCUCUGUCCCUGGCUGUUUUAACCUGGGGCUGCAAGUGACAGACUCAAGCCGGGUCUGAGAGAACAAGGACCUGACGGGCUCCUGUCCUUGGAAGGCCCGGAGCGGAGCCGCUACGGCGCGGCUGGAUUCGGCGACGUCAGGAGGUGUCACCAGGAAGCCGGCUUCGGCCUCCUUUCGUUAGUGUUGCCAGACUUAGCGGCCCGACCUAUGGGACGUGCAGGUAGGUUGGAAUUUCAAAUAAAGAACAAAAUUGCACUGUUAGCAGACAUGUGUCCCAAGAUGCAUGGGGGACGGGUUAUACUUAAAGCAUCACUUGUUGUUUCUUUGAAAUUCUGAUUUCAACACGGGGGUCCUGCAUUUAAC